UUUUGGAGUAUAACACUCCUGAAGAACUUUUAUCAAAUGAAAAAAGCGCUUUUUCAAAGAUGGUUCAAAGUACAGGAGCUGCCAAUGCCCAAUACUUACGCAGCUUAGUACUGGGAGGCGAAGGUGAGAAAAAGUCAGGAACCGAAGAGAACUAUAAGGUGGAUGGACAGAAGAAAUGGUUGGCUUCCUCGCGGUGGGCUGCAGCUGCUCAAUUUGCUUUGGCUGUCAGCCUUGGAUCUUCACAUAAUGAUCUUCAAAGUUUGGAGGUAGAAGAUGAGAAUAGUAUCCUUAGGAAAACCAAGGAUGCUGUAAUAAUGCUACGGGGAGUUCUGGGAGGAAAGCAUGAUACUGAAAUUGAAGAAAGCUUGAAUGGUUAUCAAAUCUCUACCGAUGGAUGGUGGUCGUCUCUUUUCAGAAUGAUUGAAGGACUUGCUCUGCUAAGCAGAUUGGGUCGAAACAGGCUUCAAAAUUCAGAAUAUAGCUUCGAAGACACGAAGAUCGAUUGGGAUCAAAGCACUAUUGGGUGAAAUUAGGUUUAAGUUAACAUUAGCUUGAGACUUUCUUGAUUCCAAUUGUUAAGUUUUAAUGUUGUUUCUUUGCAUUUACGUGGCCGUGGUAUAGAAUGGCUCUGGAUUUUGCACUAAAAACAUUAUUGCGG
rnacentral:misc_RNA from 1 species